AAAGAAUUAGUUAAAUAAUAACCUUAGUAUGUCAAACUUAAAUUAUUACAAUAGUAAUAUUCUUUU
rnacentral:tRNA from 1 species